UGAGUAGAAUGUAGAUAUUAGUAUAGCGUGGUGCAUUUGAUAUUGUCCGAGGAGGGGAGUAAGUUAAUAAAGUGCAUCAGAUUGCUCUUAUGAUGAAUAUUUAUGUGUAAGUAAGUUUGUAUAAAUAUAUGCAUGUACAUUAAUAUUAUAUGUAUUUACAUGUGUGUAUUUAUGUGUUGUGUUCUAUAUAUAUGUACAUGUAUGGCAUUGUAGGGGCUGUGACCUGGUGUUCAUUUCAUUUCAUUUCUUUAACGGUUGCAUACGGUAUCUUUUCAAAUAGUUCUGGUGAACCUAAAAAGGGCAUUCUAUAGUGGUCAUGUCAAAGUUGCACACUUUUCUCUCUUGACAUCUUAUGGCUGGUAGUGCGUGUGAUUCUCUGGAUUGCUUUACUUGGACUGCAGGGUACUGAAUUUGUAGUGAAGUUGUUUCUUUGGUGUAGCUACACUUAGGUCUGUAUUUUUCCUUUCUUGCUGCUUGUUUUUUCAUCAGCGUAGCCCUCGGCAACUCAUUUUUUACUGCUUUCCAGUUUUUGUAAUUAGAGUUACUUCCCUUAGACUUACAAACCAGGCAUGUAGAAUUUCAACAUCAUAAAAUCUUUAUUGUAGAGAACCUAGACUUCUGAUUUUUUCCAGGAAUUAUUGGAAUGACUUAAAAAUGCAUGUAUAAGAUUAGGCCUUUUUGUAUUUACAUGUAAUUACAUGUAAUAUUGUGUAACAUGUACCCCACCCUUUGGGGGUACAUUUUUAAAACAAUAAACAAUGUAGAAGGUGUGUAAUUUUUUUAUUUUCUAGAAAACCUGAAAAAUAUUGCUGUUAAAUAAAUGCUUAAGAUGUGAUUUGACUAAUUUUUCUGAUUUAUUUUGUUUUUAGCACUGUAGAGGACUUUCAUCUUUCAGCUUCCUCGGCCCCGGGAGAGUUGGGUACCUGCUCAGCGGGGGCAUUUUCUCUAUACAAGAAGAAGACGGAGACUCGCUACCCACCCGAUAUAUUUUGUCGGACAGUUUUCUGUACAUAGCAGUCACAACUGUAUCCAGGUCACAUCAAAGGAAUGACAGUUUCUCACUCCCUGGAAUUCUACUUAAUGGAGGGAGGUGUCAUUAAUUAAGAUUGUCACAGCUUCCAAGACACUGAAGUGACAGGCCUAAAAUUUUAUACAUAUUCAUUGCACUGUAGAGGACUUUCAUCUUUCAGCUUCCUCGGCCCCGGGAGAGUUGGGUACCUGCUCAGCGGGGGCAUUUUCUCUAUACAAGAAGAAGACGGAGACUCGCUACCCACCCGAUAUAUUUUGUCGGACAGUUUUCUGUACAUAGCAGUCACAACUGUAUCCAGGUCACAUCAAAGGAAUGACAGUUUCUCACUCCCUGGAAUUCUACUUAAUGGAGGGAGGUGUCAUUAAUUAAGAUUGUCACAGCUUCCAAGACACUGAAGUGACAGGCCUAAAAUUUUAUACAUAUUCAUUGGUAAGUAUAAAGUCUUUGAAAAUUACAAAAUUGACUAAUUCUGGGAGAGGUAAAUAUGUAAGUAUAGGAAUGAGAGUACCAAAUCCCCGGAUGAGCACAUGGCGUUGUUUGUGGCACAAUGUAGAGUCGAGUACUGAAUAGGUCGGCAUUACCUGAUUGGCUGAAAUGAGCACUGUAGAGGACUUUCAUCUUUCAGCUUCCUCGGCCCCGGGAGAGUUGGGUACCUGCUCAGCGGGGGCAUUUUCUCUAUACAAGAAGAAGACGGAGACUCGCUACCCACCCGAUAUAUUUUGUCGGACAGUUUUCUGUACAUAGCAGUCACAACUGUAUCCAGGUCACAUCAAAGGAAAG